rnacentral:lncRNA from 1 species
GAUACUUCAACUGUUGUUCUUUGUUCUCCAGGUGGACGCCUGAUUGAUGAUACUUCAACUGUUGUUCCUUGUUCUCCAGGUGGACGCCUGAUUGCUGAUACUUUAAUUGUUGUUCCUUGUUCUCCAGAUGGACGCCUGAUUGUUGAUACUUCAACUGUUGUUCCUUGUUCUCCAGAUGGACGCCUGACUUCAAAAAAAAUAGACAAAAUAAAAGAAAAUUUUCUGCCCCAGUUUGGUAGCUGGGCGCAUCUGUGAGUGUUAAACGGAAUCAUAUUACCAAAUAUUAAUAAGAAUUUGAAAUCUAGGUCCCAUUAUCCAGGG